AGCACGUGGUUGGCGAGUCCCCGGGUACGCAAGGCUAAAACACGAGAAGGACAAGCCCCUCCUCGGCUAGCUAGUCUUAGGCAAAGAAUCAAAUAAAAGUUGCAUUGGAUAUAUUGAAGCUUGAGCAAAACAAGUUGACAAAUAACACUGGUGAUGAUAAGGGAAAGCUACCAUAAAAGGUUCUAAGGCGCCACGCGCCACUUGCAGGGAAAUAAAAAAAAAGGAGAGAAGGAAGGGAACUACGCGGGA
rnacentral:lncRNA from 1 species